AAAGAUAUUGUCCUUAUUGAUAAAAACAAAAAUGGCGAAAUAUUCCUUUGCCUUCUUGACAAUAACAGAAAAGGCGACUUACAACUUUCGUCCUCUUUAAUGGUACUCCCUCUGUAUUUUUUAAAAAAAUAUACACUUUUCCAGAACGGUUGUAUUUUAAAAAGAGACACACUUUUAUUUUUUGAUAUGUUUUGGUCCCUUUCUAAUUAUAUCUUAAAAAAGCAAAAUGGCGAAAUAUUUCUAUUUUUCUUGUAGUCCUCACACUUACUCACAUAAUCAUUUUUACUAUAAUAAAUAAUUCACCCACUACCCCACUUUCAUCUUAUUUUAAUAAAUUCAACUCACUAACCUAAAACUAUGUGCCUAUCAAAGUGUAUCUCUUUUUAAAAUACGGAGGGAGUAAUAGAAAGACGACUUUUAAGUUUCGCGCUCUUUGAUCAAUAUUUUAAAAAAAAACACAAAACAAAGAAACACUCACAAUCUUCAAAGAACACUUUGCCCCAAACUUACAACACUCUACCCAAACUUCUCCAAUUUUCUCUUCGUAAGAAUCCCAAAAUGAAGGCACACAAAUUUGAUUUCCCGGUCUUCAGCUUUCUCUCUCCCUAAAUCUUCAAUUUAUAAGCCUUUUUUCUCCCCUAAAUCUCUAAUUUAGCUUUCUCUCUCUCUCUCUCCAUCUUCAAUUUUGCUGGUAAUAAAACCUAAGUUUAUGCGUUUUGGUUCGCCUGAAAUUUGGUAGAUUCGCCUAAAAUUCGGUUGAGUUCGCCUGAAAUUUGGUCCAAUCAUUUGCUCAUAUCUUAAGUUCCUCUGAAGUUCCUCUGAUAUCAUGGUGUAAUGUAGUUGGUACUGCUCAUAAUGGCUUAAAUAAUGUGUUUGGUGUGCAUAACGUCGUGAUUGGGUUGGUGCUGCUUAUUUGAAGUAGAUCGCUGCUGCUCGAAAAUUGGAAUACAGAAUCUGGCUUGGGGAACUUUGGGUUAAAUGGUUAUUACUUUUACAGAAGACUUGUGGCAUAUUGAGACUUAAAUAUGUGUUUGGUAUGUUAGAUUGAUGUCACUUUGUUGCGAAAACAAAAAUAUAGAAACAACAUUGAGCUCAAGUUUGAUAGGAACAUAAGGUAUUGGGUGAUAUGUAAUAUAUUAAGGAAGGUUCACUGUAAUUAACAGCUGGGUAAUAUGGGUGCAUAACUCGAAACUCUGCUGAAUAUGUCAAUUAUCCAUUUUCAUGACUUGGAUUUUGGGAAUAUUGUUUAGUUAAGACAUGAAAGAAAGUAAAUUUGAGAUUACAAAA